rnacentral:rRNA from 1 species
AAAGAGGGGGACCUUCGGGCCUCUUGCCAUCGGAUGUGCCCAGAUGGGAUUAGCUAGUAGGUGGGGUAACGGCUCACCUAGGCGACGAUCCCUAGCUGGUCUGAGAGGAUGACCAGCCACACUGGAACUGAGACACGGUCCAGACUCCUACGGGAGGCAGCAGUGGGGAAUAUUGCACAAUGGGCGCAAGCCUGAUGCAGCCAUGCCGCGUGUAUGAAGAAGGCCUUCGGGUUGUAAAGUACUUUCAGCGGGGAGGAAGGGAGUAAAGUUAAUACCUUUGCUCAUUGACGUUACCCGCAGAAGAAGCACCGGCUAACUCCGUGCCACCAGCCGCGGUAAUACGGAGGGUGCAAGCGUUAUUCGGAAUUACUGGGCGUAAAGCGCACGCAGGCGGUUUGUUAAGUCAGAUGUGAAAUCCCCGGGCUCAACCUGGGGAACUGCAUCUGAUACUGGCAAGCUUUGAGUCUCGUAGAGGGGGGUAGAAUUCCAGGUGUAGCGGUGAAAUGCGUAGAGAUCUGGAGGAAUACCCGGUGGCGAAGGCGGCCCCCUGGGACGAAGACUGACGCUCAGGUGCGAAAGCGUGGGGGAGCACAACAGGAUUAGAUACCCUGGUAGUCCACGCCCGUAAACCGAUGUCCACAUGGAGGUGGUGCCCCUUGAGGCGUGGCUUCCCGGAGCUAACGCGUUAAGUCCACCCGCCUGGAGGAGUACGGCCGCAAGGUCAAACUCAAAUGAAUUGACCGGGGGCCCGCCACAGCGGUGGAGCAUGUGGUUUAAAUCGAUGCAGCGCGAAGACCUAACCCUGUCUGACAUCCACCGAAGUUUCAUAAAAUGAGAAAU